AUGUGUUUUUAAUGAUUACCAUUCAAAACCUGUUACUGAAGGAGCUCUUAUCCUGUUGUAAGGGCCCGCUUUAGCUUAUGUCUUGUUGGUAUAUUAAUAUACUUGUUGCGAUUUAAUCUCCUUUUGGGUCCUUUCAGUUUUGCACAUGGAAGAAGAAGGUCGUUUGCAUAUAGAUGCGAGGGUUGAUUUUGCUUCUUAUCGAAGGAAUCAUCGAUUGUUUAUACUUGCUGAUGUUUAAUAUAUGGACUUAAUUAUUCUAUGCGCAUUUAGAUAUUGUGAGAGAAUACUUAAAUAGUAUUUUGAGAUUUUUGUUGAGUGAUUUAAAUCUGUAAGUUAUGCAGUUUAUAUAGCAGGGAGGUAGGCUGGUAUUAUUUGCUUAUUUUUAAUAUAGUUGUAUUUAUUGUACGGAUAUAUCUGUGUAAUUACCGAAGGAUUUAAACAUUAAAUUGAUUAAUAGCUUUUCUAUUAUACUUUGCAGUUAUCAUAAUGACUAUUUGUUUUGUGACCUGCUACAAUUUAAUCCUGGAGUGUUGAGGUGUUUAUUUGUGUGUUACUGGAAGGUGUACACUUAAACGAGAGGUAAAAGAGCAGGUCGAUAUCCGAAGACAACGUCAAAAACCCAAGGAGUUCCGCAACACAGUCCAGAUGGUACAGCCACACCGCAACGCUACCCAGCCGUUUCAGCCCCGCAACCGGUGAAUCUGAACCCGCAACAACUUGUGGUUGUGGUGAGCCUUGUUGCAGAACACCAUUGUUCCGUGUUUGCGCGGCGAAGGGGCAUUUUUGCUGAUGAUUCGCUGCACUGUCAGACAGUGUUGAAUAAAAUGGUGAGUUGGCUCCGAUGUAGAUCAUUUAUAACGACUUGGGAGACCACGUUUCAGCAAAUGUUUAAAUUACGAUGGUUAAUGGCGAAUUCUUAGAGUAAACAGUAUUGUUACGCUCAGAUCACAUUAAUAACAGUCAAGGUCAGAGUUUUCUUGUUACUGAAGCAGACUGAUAGCUAAAAUUUAAGUCAAAGGCUCCGGCCAAAAGAUAGAUUCAUUGCCGGUCCUUAAUGUACAUGAGUAUCUAUAUAUACCGUGCGCAAGAAAAUGUUAUGACUAGUUUUCAAGGUAUUUGUACCAAAUUUGCUUGUGUAUACGAACAUAGCUGUACGCGUUGUCAUGGGAAGCACUCUAGGAAGUAUUUAUUUAUUUUUCAGAAUCACUAGUAGCUACCAAUCAAUAUCGUUCUAGGUACUCGUCACUUGGACCUCGUGGAAUUUUCAGAUAGCCCAAACCGGCAUCUCAAAGAGGGUCACUUAAACCUCCAUUCCCUCACCAAAACCCUUAUUGACUUAGCAGUAUUACAAGUCUAUCUUUCUUUAUAUCCAAAUAAAUAAGUGGCAGCUGAAUUUUUAGAGGGUUCUAACAAAGGGUUUCGAUUACAAAACCAGCGCCCUAGAGUCCAAACUUCAGUCAAACUUUAAUUUCCGUUAGGCAAAACUCUGCUGUAGCUAAUGAGAAAGUUACUAGUAUGUAGGAAGAGCAGUUAAGCAGAAUUGCGGUUCCUUUUAAAGAAAUGCCUGUUCCAAAUUUCAGGCAAUCCGCGAUCAGUCUUGUGGCCAAAAAGAUGGUAGCUCGAGGAUUAUACACCAUCUUUCCUUCCCGAAGGGAACCCCGCAGGGUUCAAGUUUGAAUGAUUUUAUUGAUACGUCUUCUUCCUCAGUUCAGUACACUUCUUUAGACAGAGUGACGGAGCUAUUGUUUCAUUAGUGCAAUAUUGCGAAAUGGCUAAAGUUGGCAUCAAAUCUGCCUUUCGCCUUUUGAGGUUCAUAAUUAUGAUUUUGAAAUUAUUAGCCUUCAAAUUAGGAGGGGAUUAUUUUACUGACAAGACGUUACCUAUGAGUGUGCAAUCUUUUGCUGCCAUUGGGAAAAGUUUGCUAAUUUAUUACAAUAGCUGGUCCGGUACAAGAGGAAAUCCGAAAGGCUGUUUUAUUACUUGGAUAAUUAUGUUUGUUUGGCUCGCUCUAAUUCAGGGAAUGUGUGACCAAUUUGUUCUGUUUUAUAGAUAAAUGCCUUAACAUA